AGGACUAACGCUGGCGGCGUGCCUAACACAUGCAAGUCGAACGAAGUAGCAAUACUUAGUGGCAGACGGGUGAGUAACACGUAGUCAACCUGCCCUUCAAUGGGGGAUAACUAGCCGAAAGGUUAGCUAAUACCGCAUACGAUCUCUGAGUGGCAUCACUCGGCGAUGAAAGGAGUAAUCCGUUGAAGGAGGGGACUGCGUCCCAUUAGUUAGUUGGUGGGGUAAUGGCCUACCAAGACUCCGAUGGGUAGCUGGCUUGAGAGAGCGACCAGCCACACUGGAACUGAGACACGGUCCAGACUCCUACGGGAGGCAGCAGUGAGGAAUUUUUCCGCAAUGGGGGAAACCCUGACGGAGCGACGCCGCGUGUGGGAAGAAGGCCUUCGGGUCGUAAACCACUGUCGAGGGGGACGAUAUUGACGGUACCCCUGGAGGAAGCCCCGGCUAACUACGCGCCAGCAGCCGC
rnacentral:rRNA from 1 species